UGGGGAAUAUUGGGCAAUGGGGGAAACCCUGACCCAGCCAUGCCGCGUGAGUGAUGAAGGCCUUCGGGUCGUAAAGCUCUGUGGGGAGGGAAAAAGCGAUGUCCCGUGAACAAUGGGGUGUUGUGAUGGUACCUCCUUAGCAAGCACCGGCUAACUCUGUGCCAGCAGCCGCGGUAAUACAGAGGGUGCAAACGUUGCUCGGAAUUAUUGGGCGUAAAGCGCACGUAGGCGGCAUCGUAAGUCCGAUGUGAAAGCCCUGGGCUCAACCCAGGAAGUGCAUUGGAUACUGCGGAGCUUGAAUCUGGAAGAGGGUCGCGGAAUUCCCGGUGUAGAGGUGAAAUUCGUAGAUAUCGGGAGGAACACCAGUGGCGAAGGCGGCGACCUGGGCCAAGAUUGACGCUGAGGUGCGAAAGCGUGGGGAGCAAACAG
rnacentral:rRNA from 1 species